GUAUGUCUUUUCAAACCAUUGAAGGUGGCAUUUGUCAUUAGAUAUACCCAACUACACCAUGUGCACACUGUGUAGGAGACACUCGCAAGAGUGGACUUCUAUGUAUCUAUAUUACACCUACUUUUGUAUGGCCAUAGAAUGUCAGUCAAGGGACCUUAACCAGUCCUUUGUUACCCUUUACAACUUUCAGCAACGGAUCUCUUGGUUCUCGCAUCGAUGAAGAACGCAGCGAAUCGCGAUAAGUAAUGUGAAUUGCAGAUUUUCAGUGAAUCAUCGAAUCUUUGAACGCACUUUGCGCUCCUGGGUAUUCCUGGGAGCAUGCCUGCUUGAGUAUCAAUUUAAUUCUCAACCAUGUUUGGUCUUUGAAAGGACUAGGCUUGGCUUGGAUUUGGGGGUUGCUGGCGCUGCAAAGAUUGUCAGCUCUCCUUAAAAGCAUUAGUGAGGAUGAUGGAUUGCGAGUAGACUCAAAUGCUUGCCCAUUGACUUGGACGUGAUAAUGAUCGUGCUAGAAGAUGGGUGUGAAAGCACUUGAGAGGAAAGCAAAUGAAUGAUGCUUGCUUC
rnacentral:rRNA from 1 species